CGGGCGGGCGGCUUGUUGAUAAUAUGGCGGCAGGAGCUGCCUGGGCUUCUCGAGGAGGUGGUGGGGCCCACACCCGGAAGAAGGGUUUCUUUUCAGGCUAGUGCGGCGGCCGCUGCGGACCCGGAAGUCCGGGCCGGUUGCUGAAUGAGGGGAGCCGGGCCCUCCCCGCGACAGUCCCCCCGCGCCCUCCGCCCCGACCCGGGCCCCGCCAUGUCCUUCUUCCGGCGGAAAGUGAAAGGCAAAGAACAAGAGAAGACCUCAGAUGUCAAGUCAAUUAAAGCUUCAGUAUCUGUACAUUCCCCACAAAAAAGCACUAAAAAUCAUGCCUUGCUGGAGGCAGCAGGACCAAGUCAUGUUGCAAUCAAUGCCAUUUCUGCCAACAUGGACUCCUUUUCAAGUAGCAGGACAGCAACACUUAAGAAGCAGCCAAGCCACAUGGAGGCUGCUCAUUUUGGUGACCUGGGCAGAUCUUGUCUGGACUACCAGACUCAAGAGACCAAAUCAAGUCUUUCAAAGACCCUUGAACAAGUCUUGCGCGACACUGUUGUCCUCCCUUAUUUCAUUCAAUUCAUGGAACUUCGGAGAAUGGAGCAUUUGGUUAAAUUUUGGUUAGAAGCUGAAAGUUUUCACUCUACAACUUGGUCCCGAAUAAGAGCACACAGUCUGAACACCGUGAAGCAGAGCUCAUUGGCUGAGCCUGUCUCUCCAUCUAAAAAGCAUGAAACUGCAACAUCUUUUGUAACUGAGUCUCUUGACAAGAGAUUGGAGGAUUCUAGCUCAGCCCAACUGCUUAUGACUCAAUCAGAAGGAAUUGACCUGAACAAUAGAACUAGCAACAUUCAGAAUCACUUGCUGCUUUCCCGGGAAUGUGACAGUGCCCAUUUUCUCCAUCUUGAAAUGGCCAGAACAGGAACGCAUCAAGUUUCCAUGGAAACCCAAGAAUCCUCCUCCAGACUUCUAGUAGCCGGUAGAAAUAGUCCCUCUUCACCACUAAAGGAAUUAUCAGGAAAAUUAAUGAAAAGUAUAGAACAAGAUGCAGUGAAUACUUUUACCAAAUAUAUAUCUCCAGAUGCUGCUAAACCAAUACCAAUUACAGAAGCAAUGAGAAAUGACAUCAUAGCAAAGAUUUGUGGAGAAGAUGGACAGGUGGAUCCCAACUGUUUUGUCUUGGCACAGUCCGUAGUCUUCAGUGCAAUGGAGCAAGAGCACUUUAGUGAGUUUCUGCGAAGUCACCAUUUCUGUAAAUACCAGAUUGAAGUGCUGACCAGUGGAACUGUUUACCUGGCUGACAUUCUCUUCUGUGAGUCAGCCCUCUUUUAUUUCUCUGAGUACAUGGAAAAAGAGGAUGCAGUGAAUAUCUUACAGUUCUGGUUGGCAGCAGAUAACUUCCAGUCUCAGCUUGCUGCCAAAAAGGGCCAGUAUGAUGGACAGGAGGCACAGAACGAUGCCAUGAUUUUAUAUGACAAGUACUUCUCCCUCCAAGCCACACAUCCUCUUGGAUUUGAUGAUGUUGUACGAUUAGAAAUUGAGUCCAAUAUCUGCAGGGAAGGUGGGCCACUCCCUAACUGUUUCACAACUCCAUUACGUCAGGCCUGGACAACCAUGGAGAAGGUCUUUUUGCCUGGUUUCUUGUCCAGCAAUCUUUAUUAUAAGUAUUUGAAUGAUCUCAUCCAUUCGGUUCGAGGGGAUGAGUUUCUGGGAGGAAAUGUGUCACUGACGGCUCACGGCUCCCUCGGUCCUCCUGAUGACUCUCACCCAGGUGGUUCCGACAGCUCGGCUUCUCAGUCCAGUAUGAAAAAAGCCAGUGUUAAAAUUCUGAAAAAUUUUGACGAAGCGAUAAUUGUGGAUGCUGCGAGUCUGGAUCCAGAAUCUCUGUAUCAGCGGACGUACGCCGGGAAGAUGACAUUUGGAAGAGUAAGUGACUUGGGGCAAUUCAUCCGAGAAUCUGAGCCUGAACCUGAUGUAAAGAAAUCAAAAGGAUCCAUGUUCUCACAAGCUAUGAAGAAAUGGGUGCAAGGAAAUACUGACGAGGCCCAAGAAGAGCUAGCUUGGAAGAUUGCUAAAAUGAUAGUCAGUGAUGUUAUGCAACAGGCACAAUAUGAUCAACCUUUAGAGAAGUCUACAAAGCUAUGACUCAAGACCUGAGAUAAAGGAAAUCUGCUUUUGAAAAAUAAGAGAACUAUUUUCCUUUGGUUGGAUUCUUCAACACAGCCAAUGAAAACAAAGCACUGUAUUUCUUUUCUCUGAUUAUCACUGUUGUUCCCAAGAAAGAAUGGCAGACAAUCCUAGACUUCCAUCAUAAGCAGAGUGACAUGUGUGACAUGUAGACAUAAUUGCUGCACGUGAUGUUCACACAGUGAAAGUCAUAAAGAGACAAAGUGGUAUUGUUUACAUUACUAGAAAAUUAAUAGCUUUCCAAUGGCAAUAACCCAUUUAUGAAAGAGUUUUAGUCCACUGGAAUAGACAGGGACCACAUACUGUGGGAGCAGAUAAGCGUAGAGCUGAUGUUUGAUGCACAUUCUGCAGCGGUGGCCCGUCCCUACAAGAACCCUGAAGCAGGUACCGGAAGUGCUUUGCUUGGCCUCCUAAACAAACAGGCUCUGUGCGGUGCGCCCACAAAAUACGAUGCCUCGGCAGGACUUUCACAGGCUCGAGGAAUCCAUUAAACAUCCAUCUUUAUCAUGUUCUUGACGUCGUGUUAGAAACUGUUAGAAAAGAUGUUCGUGCAAAAGGGGGACCUUUUGUAACUUGCCAUGUCUUCAUGUCAGCCCAGUCCAGCAAAGAGCAAUAAAACAGGGAGCAACUUUUUGUAACCAUUUCAACUUGGGUUUCAGUAUUCAGUAUAGCUUUAUGAAAUGUAGUCAUGUGCAUUUCUGGAGCUGUGAUGAGUUCAGUAGGAAUUUGGAGGGGAAGGUCACUCUGAAUUGUAGCCAGUUACAGACUUCUUUGUUGUUUUAAGUACCAGUAGCUAAGCAGCUGCUGAAGCAGCUGACCUCUCUCUCUCUCUCUCCUGACACUGUUUGGGGGUACCCGCCUGACUCACAGUGACCCUGCUUUCUUGCCUGCAGGAGAGGGGACCACGCCUGUGUACCCAGUGACCUUUCCCUCUUCUCCCCUCCCCCACACACCAGUUGAUGAGACCAGAUGAUCAAACUUCUGAUCCAAACAGGCCCAAGACAGUUCUUUUUCUUAAGAAUUUUGCAAGGGGAAGGAGAGGGACCCUCUUGGUUUGCAGCUUGUGUGGAGCCCUUGGAAAGUCAGGACCCAUGGGCCGCACUACAUGGACAAGCAGAGAGGUUUAGAAGUAGAAAUAGAGGAACAGGAGUGCGAGCAAGUCAGAUCAGCUACUUACUUCAUGGGUUUCUGGAUCUGGUUCUCUAUCCUUCUGUGGACUCUGUUCAUCCCUCAGGUAUCCUUAGAAUGCAUCUUAGGUUUUCAAAAAUCAGUCUAAAGUGACUUUUUAUUACCUGCAACCAAAAGGACCUUGACUAAAGUACUACCAGACUGUUCUAAUCAACUCCUGAUCAUGCAUCCUCAGCGUGUUUGCAAAAUACCCCUACAUUCGGGAGAAUUUUUCUUUAGUAAACCUUUGGUCAUUUUGUGAAUUCUCUCAAAAUGGAAUCCUCAACUCAUGGAGCUAAAAGACACUCCCUCAUUUUUAUAGGGAAGAGUUACUCAGGCACAGGUCCUUAGCCUACUGUGGGAUAGUCACGGUUAGAACUCAGGCCUUCUGGACCAGGACCUUUUCAUGCUUCCCAACAUCCUUCUAAAGGAUAAGCACCAUCCCCACUUUUAGCAACUGUAAUAAACCCAGAAAUAGAGGGCAUUUCUACCAAUGGGGGCCGUGAUUAUUACAAAACAGGUACAUGCUGACCAUUUAUAUGGACUAGGCAAGAUGUCUGGCCUUUGGCUGAACCAUAAGCAGGAGUAAAUCCCAGCGAAACCCUCCAGGUUCCAACUUAGGAGACCCAUGCUAAUACUUACCUUAUGAGGCCCCUUACAGAUAAGCACUGUGGGCACUUGAGGCCUGCCGGGCCAGGGUUGGGAAUGGCUGGGAGUAAAAACUGUGGUACUGUAGGGGUUUGGGACAGGGGGAAAUGGCCACGGCAUGGCGAGUGUUGGAAGGAUCCGUAUGAGCAAAAGCCUAGAGGACAUUCCUGCUCAGGGAGGAGGAAGUUAUCUGCUUGCCUGUCACAGGGGGUAGUGAGUAUUUCUGCCUUAGUAACUUUAUGCAACCAAAUAUUUCCUCAGCCUGUGCCCCUCAAACCGCCUGCUCUGGUACAAUGAGGGUGUCCGAACUCACCUGGAAUGAUUAAGCCCCUUGCCCAGGGGUGGUGGUGCCCCUCCCCCAGGCACCGCUGAGGCACUGACACCACGGCUGCUGAGCUGGACCCCGUAUUCGUGAGCACAGGCUGGGGCAGCUGGGCCCUCUGGGCCUGUGGUGGGCAGGCAGGGUGCCUAGAAAAAGCGGGCUCAAGUUUAGCUCAGAGGGACCUGGGAAUUGCCAAGGAGCAAAUAGGAUUUUGGGGACUGGCAUUUCCCGACUUCAGGUAUCUGAGUCCCCCAUCUUGAAUGUGCCUUCAGGCUCACCCCUAAAAGAUCCCCGGCUGGCCUGUCGCCGUGAGAGCCCUGCCCACCAUGCGCGUCGUGGAAAGGCCCCAGCUAAACACCGCCGUGGGCCUCCACGCGGUGCGGAGCUCUGAGCGGCGGGCCCGGCCUGGCGUGCUCACCAGAACCCAGUGGGCUCCACCCAGACCUUCGGUCUCCUCCUCUUGACAGAGCAACCUUCUCUUCCUUCUAAUGACAGAGCCACUGGUUUAGCAAAUGUUUGCCGUUUCCGAAGUAUUUGUAACGCCUGCGAGGGCCGGGCUCCUUUUACAGUGCAGGGACACGGGAAAUAAACUUCUGGGCCACCCGGAGCUCCCAUUCUGCUGAGGAGGGGAUACGCGUCGGACGCUCCCUCUAUAAUUGCUGGUGUUUCUUGACUCAAGGUAGCCUUUUGAGCCGAUGAUUGAACACCCUUUCCUUACAGAGACCUGCAGGGGGUCACUAGGCUUUCCUGACCCAUAAAGGAGACCCACAGGGUAGAAGGGGCCUAAGAAGGGCUCGCUCUUCCGAGAGCACCCGCCCCUUGAGGACUGGCCGCCACGCCAUUCUUCCAUUUACUCCCUGCAAGACUAGAACAUUCGGGUGUUGAACACCUGGUUGACGAGGGGCAGCACCUUGAUGUCUGAGGCCAUCAAGCAAAUCUCUCUGAGUGAGGUAGGCUAAGAAGAGGCCAAAGGAUCCGUCUGAGCCCCCUGGGGCUCCCUGCAGAGCUUUGGGGAAUGUGAAUUCUUAGAAACCAGAAACGAGAAGGCUAGCAGUGUAAAGUUACCCACGCGUGAGGCAAAAUCCCGGCCUUGGAAGAGCUGGGCUAGCCAUUGAGCUGAUUCCGUGAGGUGAUGGGCUCUUUUCUGAGUUCUCCUUUCAUGAUAAUGACAAUAAGCAACAGAACUGAGUACUUAUCACUGUGCACUGGAAGGUAAGUACCUGCUCUCCCCUCGUAUGAGGGAGGCUGAGGCUUCAGAGGCCACGGAGGCCGAUCCAGGCAGUGAACCUGCCCUCUUCCCCACCUCUCUGCCCUGUCAUAAAUCGCCCUCGGCUCUUCUCACAUUGUGCUGCUUGUGGGUACUCGCUAAAGACUGGUCCAGCAGAUGCGGGAGCUUUCCGGAAAGGGGGGACUGUGGCUUUAAAACAUUCCAUCCAUCCCUUGCUCUAAAGCAGUGGUUCGUAAACUUCCACGUGCAUCAGGAUCCCCUGGAGAACUUGUUAAACCAUGCAUUUCUGGGCCUAACCUCGUUUCUGGUUUAGUCGGUCUGGGGUAAGGGCUGAGAAUUUGCCUUUUUAACACAUCUCCGGGUGAUGUUCUUGCAGCUCCGGAGACCAGACUUUUCAAGAAUCACUGCCUUCAAAUCGUUCCUAUAAAUUGGGAACUGAAUAUUUUCAUUCCCUUUUAUCGGAAAUGCCCGUGCUACACAGAAAUGGAAUUUGAGGCUUAUUACUCGUGAGUCACCCAAACAAGCACAUAUAUCCUUUAUUAGUAUUCCGAUGUUAAUGCCAGGAACACCCAAACACCACCCCACUGUCUCAGUCACUGAGCAGGUCUGAGACCAUCGAGGCAAGUGUCUCCCCCUGGGGUACGGCUUAGAAGAAGCCACGGUCUAGUCUCAGCCCCACGGGCUCCCUCCCCUCUUGUCCCCCUCCCCGUGCCCUGUGCCUUUGCCAGGGACAGUGCACCUGAUAUGUUCCUCCAGGGCUGAGACUUGGGCUGUUGGGAUCACACCCAAGGCCCCAGUGGAAUCUUCGGUGCAAUCCCUGUCUGGUCCAUUUCCUUCCAUUGUGUCACCCAGCUCCUUGAUGCCAGCUGCCCUCUGAGGUCUGGACUAUGCCGUUCUUGACCUGUCUCCCUUGCUGUCCUCCUUUUCCAGUCCCUCCCAUAGGACAGUGGUAACUUGUUCUUCCUUUCUGCCCCGCUUCAUCUCCCUCCUCCCCGUUUCUUUCUUCAGCACGUAUUUCCUGGGGACUUAUAUGGCUCUUCUAGUUACUGGGGGUACAGCAGUCCCCAGAACACACAUAGUGCGCGCCCUCCUUGCAGUCUAGAAAACAGUGACGAUUCAUGCAAUGAGUGUUACGGGAGAGCACGAAGAACCUGUUGGGGGCAGUCUGGGUGGACCCCUCUGUGUGAGUCACAGAUUUCCUGAUCAUCUCAGUCUUCCUCCAGAGCGUGUCUAUUCCACAUGGAUCUCUUUCCUCAAAAUACCCUUUCUUCCUGGCCCGACACUCCUCCCCACCCUUCCCCCCUCACAACUGGACCAGGACUUCAAAUUGGCAUAUUGGCAUGACUGCCCACUGCUGGCCGACGCUCUUUCCAUAUCCUUGUUCCACAUCCUCCAUUGCUACGUGGGGCGACUGUCCUCAUCUCUGCCCGCUGCCCGGCUCCCGGACGCUACCAGCUAUCUUUCUCACUCCUUCAUUCCCACCCCCAAGACACUUCACUGUCCAUGAUGAUAACGAUCUACCCAGCAACCCACCUUAGAACUCUUUGCCCUUUUUCGUUCUCAAGACUGUAUUUCGCUUCAGUCACACCCGUAACUAGGUCUUGUCAUCUCCUGCAACUGCUCUACCUCCGGUCUCCGCUCACAUUUUAGCCCACCAUACAACCGACCCAUGCAAGAACCAUUAUAGGCUCCUUCUACUGGGAUGGGUGAAAAGAGGGGUGGGAAGAAACUUCGUAAUUAUUCUGGGGGCAUGCCCUCACUAUUGCAAGAGUUAGGUUUUGUAAACCAGCCUUUCAAAGAGCAACUUCAAAAGCAAUAAGUGCACACUUUUGUUUGUAAGGAUUAUAAACUUUCGCCUACGUGAUAAGUUGGGGAUGGAGGGAGAACAGUCCUAAUGGGGUGACUUGGAUCAAACUUUCCAAUGGCAGUAUCAGACAAGUAUCUUAAAAUGCUGCAUCUCAGACAACUUAGAUGCAAUUGAAGGAUAUAUACUUGAAGAAAGUGGCUCUGGAUAUGAUGAAGACAUCGAUGUCUAAGAUGCAUGUAGAGGCUUUGAAUAAAAUUGUUACUUGACAUGUAAGAAUGGGGGGAAAGCAAUAUUUUGUACUGACGUAUUAUUGUAUAUAAUGUUAUUUUAAAUAUGCAUGUGUAACAAAAUAAAUUAGAUAUUAUAAUUCGA